rnacentral:rRNA from 1 species
GAUGAACGCUGGCGGCGUGCUUAACACAUGCAAGUCGAACGAGAAAUGUAGACGGAAACCUUCGGGCGGAAGCCUUCAUUUCGAGUGGCGGACGGGUGAGUAACGCGUGGGUAACCUGCCUCAUACAGGGGGAUAACAGUUGGAAACGACUGUUAAUACCGCAUAAGACCACAGCAUCGCAUGAUGCGGGGGUAAAAACUCCGGUGGUAUGAGAUGGACCCGCGUUCGAUUAGCCAGUUGGCGGGGUAACGGCCCACCAAAGCGACGAUCGAUAGCCGAUAUGAGAGGCUGGCCGGAGACAUUGAGAGUGAGACGCGGCCCAGACUCCUACGGGAGGCAGGAGUGGCGAAUAUUGCAAAAUGGGGGAAGCCCUGAUGCAGCGCCGCCGGGUGAGUGAAGAAGUUCUUCGGUAUGUAAAGCUCUAUCAGCAGGGAAGAAAAUGACGGUACCUGAGCAAGAAGCCCCGGCUAACUACGUG